rnacentral:rRNA from 1 species
ACGCUGGCGGCGUGCCUAACACAUGCAAGUCGAGCGGGGAUUGUGGAGAGCUUGCUCAAAGCAAUUCUAGCGGCGGACGGGUGAGUAACGCGUGAGCAACCUGCCUAUCACUGGGGAAUAACGCAUCGAAAGGUGUGCUAAUACCGCAUGAGACCACAGGACCGCAUGGUCAAGGGGUCAAAGAUUUAUCGGUGAUAGAUGGGCUCGCGUCUGAUUAGCUAGUUGGUGAGGUAACGGGCCCACCAAGGCGACGAUCAGUAGCCGACCUGAGAGGGUGAUCGGCCACAUUGGAACUGAGAAACGGUCCAAACUCCUACGGGAGGCAGCAGUGGGGAAUAUUGGGCAAUGGGCGCAAGCCUGACCCAGCAACGCCGCGUGAAGGAAGAAGGUCUUCGGGUCGUAAACUUCUAUCCUUGGUGAAGAUAAUGACGGUAGCCAAGAAGGAAGCCCCGGCUAACUACGUG